rnacentral:misc_RNA from 1 species
GAUGAAGAACGCAGCGAAAUGCGAUAAGUAAUGUGAAUUGCAAAUUCAGUGAAUCAUCGAGUCUUUGAACGCACAUUGCGCCCCCUGGUAUUCCGGGGGGCAUGCCUGUCCGAGCGUCAUUGCUGCCCUCAAGCACGGCUUGUGUGUUGGGCCCCGUCCUCCGAUCCCGGGGGACGGGCCCGAAAGGCAGCGGCGGCACCGCGUCCGGUCCUCGAGCGUAUGGGGCUUUGUCACCCGCUCCGUAGGCCCGGCCGGCGCUUGCCGAUCAACCCAAAUUUUUAUCCAGGUUGACCUCGGAUCAGGUAGGGAUACCCGCUGAACUUAAGCAUAUCAAUAAGCGGAGGA